UAAGUGAGUAACUGCAAAAUGUGGAUAAACCCAUCAUGUCCUUGUUCCCAUUUCACCCUAGAGCCCCAUAUAAACAAAAUGAUCCUUUUCUACCAAGCACAUUUGGUAAGGAAAGUCAUUUUGUGACCUGUAGGUGGGGAUGUGGACAUGUGGAGCUCACCCUCCCAGCAGCUCUCACCACAGCUCAACACCCAAGGGAGGAUUUUCACCUUAGAGUUUACUUGUUUCUACUGGACUCUCCCUUUUCUUUGGCAGCAGUGCUUGAUGAGCAGCUGAAGCCAAAUUGCUGCCUGUGUCUCAGGUGUGUGGAUUUGCCAUUUUGCAGAGUAACGAGGUGCCACAGGAGCUGCUGAGCACCUCUGAUUGCUCCUCAGCUGGUGGCUGGGGACGUGGUGAUUGAGCUGGGGUGGUCACUGCUGGGCACUUGGGCUUCUCUAGGGGGAGAGGUAUUUCAGGCAGAGCAUGGGAGGUUUGGGGGUGAUAUGAAGAAAAACUUGGAAGUGAACGAGGGGGACUGGAGGUGCCUUCUCUUGCUGGUGCUGCUGUGGCCCAGGUCACUUCCAACCACAAGCAUCUGGGGCUUUUGCUGUUGCAGGAAGCUGCCAAUGCGAAUGCAACCUUCGACAUGCCUGUGAGCAAGCUCAUUCCUGGAAAUGGGAAGAUCUCCUUUAAAAUGACUGUUUGUCCAUCACGCCACCCAAGGUUCUCCAUUAGGAGUGUGCUGAGCGUGGGUUGCUUUUCAUUCUGGCAAACAGAAGUGUUUGUUUCCGUUUGUUUGUUUGCUUUAACCUUCUGGGAGGAGAUGCCAAGGAUGUGUUAAAGAAAUUUAAUUUAAUUUCUCGUACUUCCAGAGGUGCUGAAACCAGCGGGUGAAUCACUG